UAUUGGGCAAUGGGCGCAAGCCUGACCCAGCAACGCCGCGUGAAGGAAGAAGGCUUUCGGGUUGUAAACUUCUUUUGUCAGGGACGAAGCAAGUGACGGUACCUGACGAAUAAGCCACGGCUAACUACGUGCCAGCAGCCGCGGUAAUACGUAGGUGGCAAGCGUUAUCCGGAUUUAUUGGGUGUAAAGGGUGCGUAGGCGGGCUUUUAAGUCAGCGGUAAAAAUUCGGGGCUCAACCCCGUCCGGCCGUUGAAACUGGGGGCCUUGAGUGGGCGAGAAGAAGGCGGAAUGCGUGGUGUAGCGGUGAUAUGCAUAGACAUCACGCAGAACCCCGAUUGCGAAGGUAGCCUUCCGGCGCCCUACUGACGCUGAGGCACGAAAGUGCGGGGAUCGAACAGG
rnacentral:rRNA from 1 species